ACACAUUUAGGCCGAAAACGGCAUGCAUACCACGUGCUAAUUAUUGAGCGGGAAGAAGGAACAAAGAACCCGAAGUCAAAGACCACGUUGUUUACUUCUGACCAUAACUGAUCGUAACUUAACUGUUUCAGAAAGAUGAGAGAAGUGCAGAGUAGAUCAUUUGUCUUGACAUGCUAAAAGAGGAAAUAAUGCACAGUAGCAACUAUAUUGCUAGGCCAGUGACCAGCUGUUGGGUACUAAGAAAGGGGAAGCUCUUAUUGACUUGUAAAAUGAAAACAGGACAUUUUCUAAUUGUUUUGAUUGGUCAAUAUUAUGUAUAUGUACGUUGAUAUGAAUUUAUGAUUUUAUAUUUGAUUGUGUUCAAUGA